GAUGAACGCUGGCGGCGUGCUUAACACAUGCAAGUCGAACGGAAAGGCUCCUGCUUGCAGGGGUACUCGAGUGGCGAACGGGUGAGUAACACGUGGGUGAUCUGCCCUGCACUUCGGGAUAAGCCUGGGAAACUGGGUCUAAUACCGGAUAGGACGAUGGUUUGGAUGCCAUUGUGGAAAGUUUUUCGGUGUGGGAUGAGCUCGCGGCCUAUCAGCUUGUUGGUGGGGUAAUGGCCUACCAAGGCGUCGACGGGUAGCCGGCCUGAGAGGGUGUACGGCCACAUUGGGACUGAGAUACGGCCCAGACUCCUACGGGAGGCAGCAGUGGGGAAUAUUGCACAAUGGGCGCAAGCCUGAUGCAGCGACGCCGCGUGGGGGAUGACGGCCUUCGGGUUGUAAGCUCCUUUCGCUAGGGACGAAGCGCAAGUGACGGUACCUGGAGAAGAAGCACCGGCUAACUACGUG
rnacentral:rRNA from 1 species